rnacentral:misc_RNA from 1 species
UUUCCGUAGGUGAACCUGCGGAAGGAUCAUUAUCAAAAGUCAAGUCGGGGGCUGCAAAGCCUUCGUCUACACCCAUGUCUUUUGCGUACUUCUUGUUUCCUCGGUGGCACAAGCCGCCGAUUGGACAAACCAAAACCUUUUUUGUAAUUGCAAUCAGCGUCUGAAAAUAAUCUAAUUAUUUACAACUUUCAACAACGGAUCUCUUGGUUCUG